GCUUAAUAAUAAAUAGAAAUAACUCAAAAAUUGGGAAAAUCUAGUUUUUGUAAUAAAACAUAAUAAUAAUGCAAAAAGAAUAGGUAGAGUUCGACAGCCUUUCAAUUUUCAUGAAUAAGACGGAGAUAAAAGAUCGAUCGCCUCUUUCAUUCCAAACGGGUUGGCAAUGUUGUCUGUCAAAAAGCGAUGCAUUUAGUGAUGAAUCAAUCUUAGUAAAAAGUAGACGUACGUUUUUGUGGCGUAAAGUAGAAUAUUGCUGUUUACAAUUAAAACGCUCUGCGACUAUGCGAAAAUGUUUUCAAGAGGCCGAAAGAUUUUAGGUCUACUAAAUAUCCCAGCAAUCGAAAAUGAGGAAGAAUUAGUGUCAAGUGUUGGACAUUGAUUCAGAUUUAUUGGUAAGGCACUUACUGUGUCCUUCCUUAUUACUGUUUGCAAACAUAGGUAAGCGGAAACCUAAUCAACGGUUGUUUCAGAAUUCACAAGAUCAAGAUAAUACCUCGUUAAACAAAGAAAAUAUUAAUCAUUCGAACGAAAACUUUGAUAUGAUAUUAAGUUAUUUAGAAAAUCGAGCCAAGACGACAUUAUUGAGAAUACGCCGAUGACAGAUCAGUUAAAAUACAGCAGAGACAAACUACAACUUGCAAUUAAUUCUGCCUUACAUAAGCGUAGAUGCUGCCUUAAUAACAAUUUGGGGACAAUAUCUCCAAUAUACACUGAUGAGAGUGAUGUAGAUGACGAUGUCGCAGAUCCAACAUUUGUUUCCGAAGAUCAACUUACUGAAAGCUGUAGAAGGAGGUUUAAAUUAGUCCCGGCAACCUCUAGUUCUUCAGAUUCCGAGCCUGAAGUUGAGAUUGAGCAAAAAGGUCGUAAACGAACCCAGUGUCUACAAAAAUGGAAACAAAAUAAGGCAAAACAAUUGAGAAAUCUUGGAGAAAAAUAUGUAUCCCUUUCUAAAACUAAAAAGACGAUGCCAAGCCGUUGUCUUAAAAUACCAUGUGAAGAGAAAUGCCACUUAAAAUGUUUUCAAAAUAUUAGCACUGAGGAAAGAUAUAAGAUAUUUCGUAAUUUCUGGAAAUUAGGUGAUUUAGGUGAGCAAAGAGCUUUUAUCAAUUAGUCUAUGGUUGACCUGAUGCCCAAGUAUGCAGAAAUGCAUAAAAUGAAUAAACACAAAUGCAGAAAAGCCAAGAGCUCCAAACAAGGCCUACUACUUAACCUCAAAGAAUGUCAGGAUUAGAGUCUGCAAAUUAUUUUUCAAAAGUACUCUAGAUGUGACUGACCGCAUGAUACAUACAAUCCAACAUAAAAAAGAUAGUACUGGAAUAGUGCAAGGAGACCUUCGAGGAAAGCAUGGGAACCACAGGCAAUUGAAUAAGGAAUUAUAGUAAUAUAAGGAAGCAUAUAGAUUCCAUUCCUCGGAUUGAGCCGCAUUAUGUUCUUCAAGGCAGUAUAUUGACACAAUUUUAAUGUCAAUACAGGAAGAGUAUCAGUAAACUGGAAUGACAUAAAACAGAUAAAAGUUUCUAAGGAGAAUCCAUUUACAACUUACUACAAAACAUCUUACGAACAAAAGACCUGUCAGGAAAUCGAUAUAAGGAACAAACGAAAGAAGAUGCCACCCAUUAAUUUAAUCUCUCUUGAAAAAGCAUAUACUGAAAAGCAAGAGUUAAGUGAUAAUAAGAAGAAAGACUUACGGGAACUUCUCAAUAAAGGUCUUAUUCCUCCAUAUUAUUAUCAAAACUUCAACAAUACUACUUUGUCUGAUUAAGUUAAAACCUAUACUAAUUUUUCAUAGUGAUUUUAUAUUAUUAAGUACUACGAUAUAAAAGGGAUUUUUUUUUAAGUUUUUGAUUAUUAGAGUUUUUUAUUUUUUUGUUUGUUUUAGAAGUCGAUUUUGUUUUAAGCUCUAGAUCUCAAUUAUUCCAAAGUAUAGGUUAAAUAAAAAGUACCUUAGUACGUUAUUUGUGUAGUCCUAAUUUCACUAAGGCUCAUUUUAUUUGAUUUAUUGAACAUGAUGAUGAUUAUUAUAUUUAAGUAUUAAGAUUAACGUGAUGAUCUCUACCUUACUCAAUGUGUAUUAAACAAGGCUGUUUUAGUUUAUGCUAGAAGUUCCUACUUAUGUUAUUUUCAUAUUUUUUGUUACUAGUUUGUUAGUCUAUAGGUGCAAAACUUCAAGACUGAAAGUUUAUGUUGAUUAAAUAGUAUCCAAGCCAA